CGCCUGCACGCGCGAGGCAGGGGGUACCGUGUUUUGGGGACCCAUCCACAUUUUGUUUCGCGCCCCGUAGCCCGGGCACCCAAAGCGGGCGACAAGCGCGAGUCUCAGCCCAGCCCGCCCCCGCUGCCCUGGCACCUAGGCGGCUGCCGGAGCGCGCUCGGCGGCUGCGCUCCGAGGCCCCGGCUGCCAUGAUUGCGGGCAGCGGGGCGCGCGCGCGCGCACUCCGGAGCCGAGCUUGGGGACCCCGGGCCGACAGACUGCCCCUGGCCUGACCGCAGCCCCGUGAGCGCCGCGGACAGCAGCCGAAGUCGCCGGGCUCGUCUUUGCUGGGGCUAGUGUGCGCCAUGGAGCUCUGGACGAGGCUCCGGCACAGAGCUCGGGGUCGUCGGUGGCGGCGGGUUUCCCCCGGGGCAGGGCGCGUGCCACGGCGACCCUGUGGAGGCUUCCCGGACACCGCGGGCCGGGCGGAUCGAGGGGCGAGACGCCCAGUGUGGUAGGGGACGGGGUGCACGGAAUCUGGUGAAGUGGAGGAGAGCAGCGUCCUGUACCCAGAGAUGGAGGGGAAACAACUUCCUGCUCCCCAGGCCCAGGGCGCAGGAGCUGCGGGGAGAAGUUAUAGGCCGCAGCUUUGCUCUUUCGGAGCCAGCCGACUACACCGCUGGCCCGGGUCGCGCGGCUCCUUCCCGCGCGCCUUCUGGGGGUCGCGACUGGCCAGGCUCCAGGGUCAGGACAGCGGUUAGAACGCCCGGGAAGCCGCAGGAGAUUUUCCUGCCUGCUCUGCAGGGACGCCUGAGUGGCCUCCCCGCAGAGGGGCCGGGCUAGGCUUCCGGUGCUAGGAGACAUCGACACCGGGUCACUAUGCCUGGACCCUGUCCCCCUGCCAGGGCAUGCCCUAGCCGAGAGCCAGAUGGGCCUGGCUGUCCUCGGACGCCCGCGACGGGUGCCGGAGAGAAACGAGGCCUCCUGGGCCCUUUCCCAAUGUCUGUCUGUGCCUGUCUCCCCCCACACCCCCAGCCGGCCUUGGCAUUCUAACCAGUGUCCCUUGACGUCACAUCUCGCCACUUCUGUGAACCAAUUGAAACUUGCCCGUUGUCAUAAAAAUAUAUAUACUUUUUAUGCUAUUGGUAAAUUCAAAA